ACCAUCAUAGCUCAGUGGCAGAGCACUGGUCUUGUAAACCAGGCGUUAGGAGUUCGAUACUCACUGGUGGCU